CCUACGGGAGGCAGCAGUGGGGAAUAUUGCACAAUGGGGGAAACCCUGAUGCAGCGACGCCGCGUGAGUGAAGAAGUAUUUCGGUAUGUAAAGCUCUAUCAGCAGGGAAGAAAAUUACGGUACCUGACUAAGAAGCCCCGGCUAACUACGUGCCAGCAGCCGCGGUAAUACGUAGGGGGCAAGCGUUAUCCGGAUUUACUGGGUGUAAAGGGAGCGUAGACGGUGAUGCAAGUCAGAAGUGAAAGCCCGGGGAUCAACUCCGGGACUGCUUUUGAAACUGUGUGACUGGAGUGCAGGAGAGGUAAGCGGAAUUCCUAGUGUAGCGGUGAAAUGCGUAGAUAUCAGGAGGAACACCAGUGGCGAAGGCGGCUUACUGGACUGUAACUGACGUUGAGGCUCGAAAGCGUGGGGAGCAAACAGGAUUAGAUACCCCUGUAGUC
rnacentral:rRNA from 1 species